CCUACGGGACGCAGCAGUAGGGAAUCUUCCACAAUGGACGAAAGUCUGAUGAAGCAACGCCGCGUGAGUGAAGAAGGGUUUCGGCUCGUAAAGCUCUGUUGGUAGUGAAGAAAGAUAGAGGUAGUAACUGGCCUUUAUUUGACGGUAAUUACUUAGAAAGUCACGGCUAACUACGUGCCAGCAGCCGCGGUAAUACGUAUGGUGCAAGCGUUAUCCGGAAUGACUGGGUGUAAAGGGAGCGUAGACGGUUGUACAAGUCU
rnacentral:rRNA from 1 species